GAUGAACGCUGGCGGCGUGCCUAAUACAUGCAAGUCGAGCGAACGGAUAAGGAGCUUGCUCCUUUGAAGUUAGCGGCGGACGGGUGAGUAACACGUGGGUAACCUACCUAUAAGACUGGAAUAACUUCGGGAAACCGGAGCUAAUGCCGGAUAACAUAUAGAACCGCAUGGUUCUAUAGUGAAAGAUGGUUUUGCUAUCACUUAUAGAUGGACCCGCGCUGUAUUAGCUAGUUGGUAAGGUAAUGGCUUACCAAGGCGACGAUACAUAGCCGACCUGAGAGGGUGAUCGGCCACACUGGAACUGAGACACGGUCCAGACUCCUACGGGAGGCAGCAGUAGGGAAUCUUCCGCAAUGGGCGAAAGCCUGACGGAGCAACGCCGCGUGAGUGAUGAAGGUUUUCGGAUCGUAAAACUCUGUUAUUAGGGAAGAACAAAUGCGUAAGUAACUGUGCGCAUCUUGACGGUACCUAAUCAGAAAGCCACGGCUAACUACGUGCCAGCAGCCGCGGUAAUACGUAGGUGGCAAGCGUUAUCCGGAAUUAUUGGGCGUAAAGCGCGCGUAGGCGGUUUCUUAAGUCUGAUGUGAAAGCCCACGGCUCAACCGUGGAGGGUCAUUGGAAACUGGGAAACUUGAGUGCAGAAGAGGAAAGUGGAAUUCCAUGUGUAGCGGUGAAAUGCGCAGAGAUAUGGAGGAACACCAGUGGCGAAGGCGACUUUCUGGUCUGUAACUGACGCUGAUGUGCGAAAGCGUGGGGAUCAAACAGGAUUAGAUACCCUGGUAGUCCACGCCGUAAACGAUGAGUGCUAAGUGUUAGGGGGUUUCCGCCCCUUAGUGCUGCAGCUAACGCAUUAAGCACUCCGCCUGGGGAGUACGACCGCAAGGUUGAAACUCAAAGGAAUUGACGGGGACCCGCACAAGCGGUGGAGCAUGUGGUUUAAUU
rnacentral:rRNA from 1 species